rnacentral:rRNA from 1 species
UACGUAGGGGGCAAGCGUUGUCCGGAUUUAUUGGGCGUAAAGAGCGUGUAGGCGGCCAGACAGGUCCGUUGUGAAAACUCGAGGCUCAACCUCGAGAUGUCGAUGGAAACCGUCUGGCUAGAGUCCGGAAGAGGAGUGUGGAAUUCCUGGUGUAGCGGUGAAAUGCGCAGAUAUCAGGAAGAACACCUAUGGCGAAGGCGGUUCUCUGGGCCUGUACUGACGCUGAGGAGCGAAAGCGUGGGGAGCGAACAGG